CCCUUAGAUGUUCUGGGCCGCACGCGCGCUACAAUGAUGCAGGCAACGAGUGCCGCUCCUUAGCCGAAAGGCUUGGGGAAUCUUGAAAACUGCAUCGUGCUAGGGAUAGAUGAUUGCAAUCGUGCAUCUUGAACGAGGAAUGCCUUGUAAGCGUGAGUCAUCAACUCGCGCUGAAUACGUCCCUGCCCUUUGUACACACCGCCCGUCGCUCCUACCGAUUGGAUGGUCCGGUGAACUGGUCGGACUGCUGUUUGAAAUUGCGGGUGCAGUUGAUUCACGGGAAGUCUAGUAAACCUUAGCAUCUAGAGGAAGGAGAAGUCGUAACA
rnacentral:rRNA from 1 species